UUCUUUAGCCACAGUGGAUCUUGGGGAA
rnacentral:piRNA from 1 species